AACGUAGGACACGAGCGUUAUCCGGAGUUACUGGGCGUAAAGGGCGCGUAGGCGGCCUGCUAAGUCGGAUGUGAAAUCCCUCGGCUCAACCGAGGAACUGCAUCCGAUACUGGCGGGCUUGAAUCCGGGAGAGGGAUGUGGAAUUCCAGGUGUAGCGGUGAAAUGCGUAGAUAUCUGGAGGAACACCGGUGGCGAAGGCGGCAUCCUGGACCGGUAUUGACGCUGAGGCGCGAAAGCUAGGGGAGCAAACGGG
rnacentral:rRNA from 1 species